GGUCUGAUAGCAUAGCGGUUAUGCUCUGAGGUCGCAAAUCAGAAGGUCGCUGGUUCAAAUCCUGUUGGCGGCG